rnacentral:rRNA from 1 species
CCUACGGGUGGCAGCAGUGGGGAAUAUUGCACAAUGGGCGCAAGCCUGAUGCAGCCACGCCGCGUGUGUGAAGAAGGCCUUCGGGUUGUAAAGCACUUUCAGCGGGGAGGAAGGCGUUAAGGUUAAUAACCUUGUCGAUUGACGUUACCCGCAGAAGAAGCACCGGCUAACUCCGUGCCAGCAGCCGCGGUAAUACGGAGGGUGCAAGCGUUAAUCGGAAUUACUGGGCGUAAAGCGCACGCAGGCGGUCUGUCAAGUCGGAUGUGAAAUCCCCGGGCUCAACCUGGGAACUGCAUUCGAAACUGGCAGGCUAGAGUCUUGUAGAGGGGGGUAGAAUUCCAGGUGUAGCGGUGAAAUGCGUAGAGAUCUGGAGGAAUACCGGUGGCGAAGGCGGCCCCCUGGACAAAGACUGACGCUCAGGUGCGAAAGCGUGGAGAGCAAACAGGAUUAGAUACCCCAGUAGUC